AAAAAGUACAUUUGUUUUAUACAAUGUAAAACAAAUUGAAGCAAGUGCGACUUCAUCUGCAGUCGGGCUCUGAUCGCCAACCUCGCAUUCUUUUCUAGUUUUGAGUUCUCUGCUCGCACAUCUCACUGGCGCCAUCUUCACGCUUCUGAUCGUCGUUGCCCUCUCAGCCCCGAUUUGCAGUCUUUGGUAACCGAUUCGGUACUAGUCUCUCUCUCUCAACUGUGUGUUUAUUGCUUUGAUCUGGUUGGAUGUAGAAGUAGGGGAGAUGAUUUGACAGUGCUAGAUGGAUAUUAUAUGUGAAUACUCUGGGCUUCUAAAUCUGAUGGUACUUUGAGAUGGUGAUUUGAGGAUAUAUAUAUGGGUGCUUUGGCUCCAAUUAUAGAGGAUUUGAUAAUUUCUUUGUUGAUUCGGUCACCUCUCUCACUUGAAUCAUGAAAUUUCUCUAUGGUAUGGGUUGUUGUGCUUCAAUUCGCCAGUUUUCCAGUUUUUCUUUUCAUAUCAAGGUUUGUUUGCCGUCAACCAAAAGAAAAAGGUGACGAUGCAGUUUAUAUUUUCUUUUUGUUUGUGGACUGGUGAGUGUGGCUUGAUAAUUUGGAUUAUGGAUUGGUUCUCUAGCUCUAGUGUGAAGUACAUGUCUGAAUUUGGUGAAGUAGUUUCUGAUUACUCUGAUAUUUGGAAGUUGCUGCAUUCAAUUGAAAUUUGCCUCAGACAUUCUGCAGUAUUCUAUUCUAGUUAUAUGUGCUUCAUCUGUUAAUGGUUGCUUUAGCAUCACUCACUGAUAUCUAGAUUGAGCAUCAAUAGCUUCCGACUUGUGCUUUGGCUUAUCAAUUUCUCAUGCACCCACCUCAGUGAGCAUUAUAUUCUUCAGCAGAAUUGGUAAUAUCCUCCCAAUUUUCCCACCCUAUCAUUGGAUUUGUGGAAUUGAUUUCUGGUUUAAUUUGCUCUGUCAGUAUCAUCAGUUUGUCAUUUUCCUUUUAUAUCAAAGUUUGUGUCUGCCAUCAACCAAAGAAAAGGUGAUGAAGCAGUUUUAUAUUUUCUUUUUGGUCUGGUGAAUUGGCUUGGCAAGUUGGACUAUAAAUUGGUUGUAUGGCUCUAUGUGCUGGAUGUGUUGAGUUUGGAGGAGGUUUCCAUAUUUGAUGAGGAAUUUGAAAUUUGCUAUGGAAUUUGCUGUGCCUACUGUUUCUGGUGUGGUUACAUUGCUGCUGAUAUGGUGUUUGGAUGAAUCCCCUAGUAGAGAUGAGGUUAUGCAAAAUAGAGAUGAGGUAGAGAUGAGUUGCUGGUUAUAUAUGAGUGCAUAUGGAGUUGAUAAUUAAGGCAGAAUUCUUCUAAUGUUUGUGCAAGAAGCUUUAUAUGGUUACUGGUAGGGUGCAAGUGUUUCGGAUAUGACAAGAUUCAAGUUCUUAUGGCAACAUAUGCAGCUUUUCAGUUUUUCAGAUUACAAUUGAAGAAAAAUAAUAAAAUAUAUGCAGUUUUCAGAUUUGGAAUUUUUUUUUUCAGUUUUACAUAGUUUGCUGCUAUGCUACUGGGUUUAUUCUUUAUCAUGUUGCACUACUACCAGUGAGAUUCUUCCAGCAAGCUCUUUGUCCUGUUUUAUAUACCUGCUGCAAAUCAAGAUGGAAGCUAGUCUUAUCAUAUCAUGUAGGGUUUUUGAAUUGGAUGUUAUCUUGUAAUUGGCUAUAGCUGUGUAUUUUUCCAACCAGUAUGCUUGUUACCAAGCAUGUGUAGCACUUAUAUUAGUCUUUUGGCUUGUAAUACCUAUUGCCUAGCUGAGUUGUACUGUUCUCCUUAUCUAAGAAUUCACAAUGUAGUCCUUUACAGAUUCAACGUUUUCCUUGACUGCUUCCUUUUAUUUUCUGCAUCUGGCUUCAAUAAUCCAUGAUUUCUAGAAUCCUAUCAAGGUUUAAUUGUUGUUUUGGAUCCUGCUAAUGAUAAUUAUAGUAGGAUUUAUGUAGUCAUCCGUAAGAAGUCUAUUAAUUUUUUGUCUCAACUUCAAGCCUCAAACUCGAUCAAUGUACUUUGCAUAUUAGAGUGAAAAUUGCAAACUGAAUUAAUUGUGAAUCAAAUGUAUUCGGUACAAUUGUGGUAGGCGCCUAGGCGGGUAGAUACUGUAGUAUGAAUUAAACAGGUAGCUCAUUCAUGAUCUGGUUCUUGUUUUGUGAUUCAUGCUCAGUCCAGCGGCAUAUCCUGAUGAUCAGCUCCUUCAGUCUUUCAGAGGCACGAACAGUUCCUGCAACUGCGAAACUCUCCAUCAAGUCGCCACUCAUCACGAUUAGCUUCUCUUUCAAUUCACCAAUGGCUAGAACAAGAGCUGAGACUCCACUUUCACAUAAUGUUUUCAAGUAUUGGUAUGACUUGCUCGCAACACUAACAAAACAGAUGCUCCAGAUGAAGAGAACGAGCCAACCAAAAGGUGGAAAGAGGAUGAGCAGCUCUAAAGUGAAAGCCAGAGUUCCCAACAUGAUGAUAAUCCUAUUCAUGAAUUUACGAAAGUCUACUGUACUGUGAUCAUUUUGGAGUAUCAUGACACCUAUUGACCCAAAGUAAGCCGAUACGUCGAUAACAAACAACCUCAUCAAUAGUGUGUCUGGAGAUGAAUUUGCAAAUUUCAAUUGGAGGCAAAAGCCAAGGAUGGUGAUGAGAGAAACAAUACAUUUGUUCAAUCCCACCAUAGAUUUGCUCCUAGGUGCACCCUGCUCCAUUCUGUUAUACCAUAAGAAAAUUGAUCGAGUUAAAAAUUAUUUAUCAAAUUAGUGAAAAAUAUCGACUAUCGCUACGAAUGAGUUGCAGCUAGCUAGGAAGGUUUAUCCAUUGCCUUUGUUCCUCCUAGCUACAUGGAAUUUCCCUAUAUAUAUUCUUCAAUAUCUGAAAGAGAUACUUGAGUUUUAAUGAUGAAAAAUCAAUUGAGCAUGUUGAUUAUGCGCAGUAAGAAGGUAAUAUUGGAUUUAAUUUCACCAACUUCAGACUACAAUUUGAAGGAAACCCAAUUAAAUGGAGAACAUAAUGUAUUUCCCCUCGGUAAUAUGCUAGAGUUCCUCAGUAUAAUUGAGCAAGAAGCAUGAAAUGGAGACGACAACGACGGAGACUGAACAGAAAUAGGUAGCUAGGAGUUGCGACAGCAUGCAGUAGCUCUACAUUUCUAUCAACAGGUCUAAAGCAUGAAGAUAUUAAUAUUAACGGAAACCAUGAAGAUCAUAAGCAAGGGAAAGAAUAUAUAAGCUAAGACUACUAAAGCAUGCAAAAUAUAUUGUAUCUAGUAAGAUGACUAACACUGGCAAGUGAACAGAAUUCCGCAGCUUCUCGAUCUCUGUGGAGCUCAAACCUUCCUCCCUCUCGCUUCUUACUUCCUUGGGAUAUGUAAGAACUCCCUUGGGAUAUAUAAGAAAUGAAGUUAUAAGUUGCAGGGGUAUAAUAGUUGCAGCUUCUUACUUAAUAGUUGCAGCGCUUCUUUCCCUGAGGGGUGAUUAUAAAGGGUGAUUUCUUCCCACCAAUGUUUGAGAGUCGUAUAAGUUUGAGAGUAGUUUAUGAAUGUGCAGCAGUCCCGUUCGCCUGGACCAUAACCGUCAGAUCAAGCCGUCAGAUCAAGCCUCAUUUAAAUCCUAGGGUGGAGAUAUAAUCAGCAAUAGGGCUGUGUUUUUGGAUUUCUUAAUGCAUUUUGGACCUUGGCUUGAUCUGACGGUUAUACGACUCUCAAACUACUCUCAAACUUAUACGACUCUCAAGGAUACCAUCUUAACCCACCAUGCUUAUGUCUCCCAGGAAGAGCUCAAGCAUACCAUCUUAACCCACCAUGUUUGAGGGUCCCACAACGACUUCUCAAGGAUGCCAUCUGCCCCCCCCCCCCCCCCCCCCCGUCUUAACCCACCAUGUUUGAGGGUCCCACAACGACUUCUCAAGGAUACCAGCGGAUGUCGAUAUUUUUCACUAAUUUGGAUCAAAUGAGUUGCAUUCAUACUGUUUUGGAUCAAAUGAGUUGCAUUCAUACUGAAGAAGUUACAAGCGGUAUGAAUAAUACAAAACAGAAUCACUAAUGAACCAUUUAUAACAAACAUCGGACCAAAGGGCCCGACCCUAACUUCCUACUGGAGUUAAAUCUCUUGUACACCAUGAGGCUAGGAAAAUGAUCAUCAAGACCAGAUGACUCAACUGACAUAUUGCCAAUGAAGUUGGUAACGAAGCAUCGAAAUUCUGACAAGGCAGUGACUUCUAACGGUGAGGUACGAACUUGUUAACGGCAACAAACUUGAGGUAGUUAAAUGAAAGAAUUUGAUAGUUGGGUAUCAAAUUGAAGAUAGCCCUAUAGUUCGGGUGUGGUUUUUGUAAAUAAUUUAUUUUCCUAAGUCAUAACUCUGCCAUAGUGUCAUUUUCCAAACUCUGCCAUAGUGUCAUUUUCCAAACUCUGCCUUAGUGUCAUUUUCAAAGAAAUGAACCAAAUGAGUCAUAUAUAUACUCAUGAUUAUACGAACCAGGUGAUUACAAAAAACACAAGUACUCAUAAACCUUGCACAAUGUUUUGAAGGGGCCAGAACUGUUGGAUAUGUGGAAUUCCUCUCCCAACUGGUUAUUUGUAUUCAUAAAGCUCUUCUAGUGAGGACCCUUGAGGAUUUUUCGGCUUAUCCCACCUUUCGAGCUUAUAUCCACAUCUUGAUUGUUCAGUUUAUAGGUAUUUAUGAGUAGAUCAUUUCAUCAAAUUUUCAGCUAUGUUGAAAAUUGUUAAGACAUUCAUAAGUGUGAUUUAUCAAUUAUGAACUUAAACGGUUCAUAUUUGACAGAUUUGGUUCGUCCAUUAAUUUGAUCUAAUUUGUUAUCUGAACGGAUGAGAUGUCAAAAUGUGAUCGAAAAUUAGGUCUUUUAAACUAUAAACCGAAAAGUCUUCACCAAGUCCUCAACUUAAGGGUCCUUACUAGAAGGGCUCCCAUUUGUAUUCAUCAUUCAUCAGUCUCUCUAUACUAUUCAUCUGCUUUUCUUUUCUUCUUUUUUUUGGAGGUGAAGAACAAUCUUAACACAAAUCAAAGCAAAACCAAAAUCUCUCGUGUUUGCUCAUUCAAUUUUGGAUUAACAAUAGAAGAUUGGUACUGAAGGCCUCCCAAACAAAAUAUGUAACACUCAAGAGUCAGCAGAACUAUUCCAAUAAAAAAAUCUGUAGCCAUGGUUGAAACCUAGCUAGCUGCAUGCAAUGGUGAUUUAGGAACUGACAUUGCUUAUGCAACUGUGGCCAUGUGACAGAUCAAGUCGAUAACUCGUGAGCUGCAAUACACCGUGUUCAUCAGAAAACUGUGAUGUCAAAAGAAAUUUACAAUAUGCUUAUGUAGAAAUUGUGGUAUUACCUGUUACCCCACUCAUUGUCAUACCAAGCGACAAGCUUCACAAAGUUGUCAUUCAAAGCAAUUCCAGCCUUGGCAUUGAAAAUGCUCGACCUGCAGCAUAACAUGUAUGCACUCCCUCAGAGCCUCAAUCAAUUAACUGAAGUAAAGAAUAGGGCAGUUACCUAACCAAGUGCUGCAGGUUUUAUAGAGGCAACAGGUCAGAGUCAGCAAUAUUCUGGCAUUCUCACCUGUAAGUGGUUACUCACAAAGUCAGUGGACACCAAAUCAUCGUCUAUGUAUCCUAGGAUUCCCUUUAGGUUACCCUCAGAUUCUUCCCUGAAUUUCACAAUUGAAGGAAACUCAGAUGAUUGAGGAGAUAGAGGUGAGCAUGCCUUGAAAGACAAGCAAGUUACAUCAUCAAACAGAAAAAUAGGCAUAGAGAUGCACCAAAAUAUGAAACCAAGCAACUCUUUAGUAGUUUAGUGUGUUUCAAAUUCUAUAAGAAACCAAAGUGGAUGGCCUGAUCCUUACUUGAUAGCACUUUUAAUCUCAUCAUAUGUAGCCUUCUUGUCAAGUCUUACUGUGAGGUCAACCACGGACACAUCAACAGUGGGAACCCUGAAGGCCGUUCCUGUCAACUUCCCAUUUAGCGCAGGCAUCACUUUACCAACACCGUAUAAAUCAAACCAAAACUAGUUCUGAAAAUUUCCCAAAUCUUUUAGACAGCAUUAGAGAAUCAAACGAACUCUGAAGACAUACGUUACAUCUACCAACACAAGGUGUUAGGGGUCCAAUAUAAUACCUCGGCAGCUCCAGUACUAGUCGGAAUGAUGUUACGGCCAGCAGCUCUACUACCUCUCCAGUCUUUCAUUAGUGGACUAUCAACAGUCCUUUGAGUAGCUACAUCACAUAUCAAAAGAACCUUCAACCAAUGAUUCAUUACAGUCUAGCUUGCUUAGAAUCAAAUGAGCAUACUAUACAUUCUCACCAGUAACUGAAUGGACAGUGGUCAUAAGAAAAUUAAUCGUGGAUAACCUACCAAGACAUGUUCAUUGAUACAGUUAACGUACAUGAGAAAAUUAACCAGUUGAUUGAAGUACUAGCUAGCUGAUAUUGAUUUGAUUAGGACAAUAAUAAGAAAUGAAACCUUUGCCAGUGGAGCAAGACAGUGAGUAGUGCAGCUUGCAUUCGAAACAAUGUUAAGAUCUGGAGUGUAGUCCUUCUCAUUAACACCCACAACAAACAUGGGAAACUCGUCACUUGGCGCAGAAAUGAUUACUUCUUUGCACCAGCCUAUGUAAUCGAACAUUGUAUAUAUGAGCAACAAAAUCUUCAUGAACAUGUAUACAAGCAUGUGAAAAAAAUUUACCGUCAGGUGGCGUGAUGCUCUCUCCUGAUCUGAGUUAACUCCGCUGGACUCGACGACAAAUUCAGCACCACCAUCUUCCCAUGGGAUUUCAUUAGGUAAUUAAGGUAAACAAACAACUAUAAACAAGCCAAAGUGAAAUUUCAUUGUUCUUGUUAACUACAAGAGUGGGAGUGUAGCUGGCGUAUAAAUAUUAAUUAAGAAAAUAUACCUAGAAUCAUAAACCUUGACAGCCUUAUCACCAAAGAGAAGUGUGCUUUCAUCCUUAACCUUAAGCUCGCCAUGCUUCCACUGCCCAUGAACACUGUCUUACUUAAACAUGUAGCUCUGAGAAGAUGGGAUUAGUUAAUACAUGCAAACCCUUUGUCGAGAAUUAAGUUACCUAAUACACAAUAACACAAGUUCAACUCGAUCCACAAUAGUGGAGAAUUUGGGUGAUGCCAUGUAGGAAAUUCCUCCAUCGGCGAAAGACAAAAUGUUUGAUGAAAUGUCUCAAAAAGUUAAAGACGGACACUAUAUUCAUGUAGUUAACUGGUUUUACAUACACAUACCAUGUGAUCAGCAGUCAAGAAAGGAUAGUUUAUGGCAACGAGUUCAAUGUCGUCUCUCUGCAGAGCAACUCUGGCCACCGUCCGGCCAAUCCUUCCGAAUCCUUCAUUCACAACAUAUAAUCUCCAUUCAACACAAAUGAUAUGAUACAAAUACUGAACAAACCAGUGUAGAGAGACACCAAUACCAUUGAUGCCAAUCUUGAUCUUGGCCAUGGGUAACAAUGUAUAUGCUUGUCAAACCCAAAGAGAGUGAACCAGGGAGGACGGCAUGUGUUUGUGAUCAAGAUGGGGGAUCACUGUUAAAUUUGAGAGAUGAAUUGGUUAAAAGAAAAGGGUAUGAGAAGUAAAAAAAANNNNNNNNNNNNNNNNNNNNNNNNNNNNNNNNNNNNNNNNNNNNNNNNNNNNNNNNNNNNNNNNNNNNNNNNNNNNNNNNNNNNNNNNNNNNNNNNNNNNNNNNNNNNNNNNNNNNNNNNNNNNNNNNNNNNNNNNNNNNNNNNNNNNNNNNNNNNNNNNNNNNNNNNNNNNNNNNNNNNNNNNNNNNNNNNNNNNNNNNNNNNNNNNNNNNNNNNNNNNNNNNNNNNNNNNNNNNNNNNNNNNNNNNNNNNNNNNNNNNNNNNNNNNNNNNNNNNNNNNNNNNNNNNAAUUUAAUUAUUAGAACAACAAAGUAAUCGGAGAAUAAGAAACAAAGGUAGAGUUGGCCUAGUGGUUAGGUCACUCAUCACUCGCACUUUUUUUUAUCACAUGGGUUGCAUUCAUACGGAAGAAGUUACAAACGGUAUGAAUAAUACAAAACAGAGCCACUAAUAGACCACUUAAUAGACUACUUAUAACAAAUAUCGGACCAAAGGGCCCGACCCUAAUUUCCUACUAGAGCUAAAUCUCUUGUACACCAUGAGGCUAGGAAAAUGGUCAUCAAGACCAGAUGACUUAACCGACAUAUUGCCAACGAAGUUGGUAACGAAGCAUCGGAAUUCCAACAAGGCAGUGGCUUCUAUCGCUUGAAGAAAUAAGAACAUGAGUCAAUUCCGCCUCCUGAGUAGUGAAUACUCGUGAUAAAGAACUGGUGAAAACCAUCAUUACUCAUUAGCUGUGUUUGUAAUGAGCCAAUCAAGCAGAACGACCACAAAGGAUCAAAAGAGCUAAACACACAAACAAAACAAAAGAUAAAAACAGUACACACAUAAACAUAAUGAACUGCAGCAGCCCAGCCUUGACCACCGAGCCCAAAUCUCAACAUAGGCCCAGAUAUCUGUAGCCUACCCAAAACUAGACUUAGUCCAUGGCCUAGAUUCGCUUCACCUGCCUGCUUCUGUCGAACCACCACUCCUUCAUCAACACCUUCGCCAGCUUGCCCCAAGCUAUAUAUAGAUCGAGCUUCCCACACUAGCCUGCACAACUCAGAUCGACGGGCCGGGGCCGCCACCAUCAGAUUCGCGGCCAAAGCUUCCAAACUCGGUUGCACUUCCCUGAGAUAACUCGCCGUAACCCAACCAGAGACCCGAUAUGACCUCAAAUCAUCUAUCGAUCUCUAAUGCUUCCAUGAGAAACUCAGACAGACCUGAUCCGAACAGAAGGAAACCGGAUCAGGUACUAUGGACGUGUUAUGAUUGUAGUCUUUCCAAUUGGUCAAGUAGGAAUUAUAAGUACCAAUUAUAAGUACCAAGUCAGGUGCUACAAGUAGUUUUGGAAGCAGAAGUAGCAGGAUGGAGGGUGGCAAUGCAGUGAGAUCAAGUGGAACAAACGCCAGUAGCAAGGUGCUGUCAGAUUCAGAAUACGCAGCAAGGAGGGCAAGGAACCAGUGUUAUUUUUGUGAGGAGACUUACACUAGAGGUCAUAAUUGCAGGAAGAAGGGUCAGUUGAUGAUCAUGGAAAUUGUACCCGAUGAGGAGGUAAGUAAUGAAACUGAUGACCCAGCAAGAGAUGGGGCAGGCAAGGAGUUAGUGGAGGUUCCACCAAUUGUGGACACUGAGGAACCAUUGAUUAGAUUGCAAGUUCUGUCUGGGGGUAGCUCAACAACAAUGCAGUUAAAGGGAUGGUUUAAUAAGAAGUCGGUGCAUGUAUUGAUUGACUCUGGUAGCAACACAUAAUUUCAUACAUCCUCAGUUGCUGAAAGGAGCAAAAGUGCAAGUGCAUGAGCUAGCACCAUUGAAUGUUUUGUUAGCUAGUGGAGCGAAAAUGCAAACUCAUGGAGAAGCACAGCUACAGCUGCAGCUGCAAGGUUAUAAGUUUGAUGCAGAUUAUUAUGUGUUACCAGUGACAGGUUGUGAGGUUGUGCUAGGUACCAGUUGUGCUAGGUGAUAUAACAUGGAAUUUUGAGGUCAUGAGGAUGCGGUUUACAAUACAGGAGUGUGAACAUCAGUUGCAAGGAGAGACAAAACCUGAGGCCACAGUCAUUUCUUGUAAAUCCAUGACCAGGUUGUUAAGGAAGGAAAGAGAAGCAAUGCUAGUUCAAGUAGCACCAGCAAUGUCUAACCAAAAAGUGAAUCCCUACCCUGAGCAGUUGCAACCAGUGAUCACUAAAUAUACAGAAUUAUUUCUACCACCUACUGCAUUACCACCUGUCAGAGAUCAUGAUCAUAGGAUUGAGUUGCUCCCAAACACCACACCAAUUAGUGUCAGACCAUAUAGAUACCCACACUUUCAGAAGGCAGAGAUAGAGAAAAUAGUGCAGGAACUUUUGGAAAAUGGAGUGAUUAAACCAAGUGUGAGUCCCUACUCAUCACCGGUAUUGCUUGUGAAGAAAAAAGAUGGGACUUGGCGAAUGUGCANNNNNNNNNNNNNNNNNNNNNNNNNNNNNNNNNNNNNNNNNNNNNNNNNNNNNNNNNNNNNNNNNNNNNNNNNNNNNNNNNNNNNNNNNNNNNNNNNNNNNNNNNNNNNNNNNNNNNNNNNNNNNNNNNNNNNNNNNNNNNNNNNNNNNNNNNNNNNNNNNNNNNNNNNNNNNNNNNNNNNNNNNNNNNNNNNNNNNNNNNNNNNNNNNNNNNNNNNNNNNNNNNNNNNNNNNNNNNNNNNNNNNNNNUUUGCUGGGAAAUCAUUUCAGAAUUCUGACUGAUCACAGAACUAUACAAUAUUUCCUUGAGCAGAAGAUUACAACCCCUACACAACAGAAGUGGUUAUUGAAGCUUGUUGGCUAUGAUUACACCAUUCAAUAUAAACCAGGAAAGAAUAAUGCAGCCUCUGAUGCACUAUCAAGGAGAGAAGAACUCACACGUGACCUGGAACCUAUUUCUAAGUACAGUACCCUUUCAACAAUGACUGGAGUGUCAUCACCAGUUCAUGACUAUGUGCUGGAAAUUCAGAAGGCAUGUGAGAGGGAUGCUGAAACUCUUUCAAUCUUACAACAGCUAAGGGAAGGUACAAAUCCUCCAAGGUCUUUUACUCAACUUCACUCUCAGUUAUUAUAUAAGGGCAGGAUCUUUGUGCCACAGUUGGAUAAUUGGAGACAAAAGGUUAUUGUUGAGUUUCAUGAAGGGUAUAAUGAGGGGCAUGCUGGUGUUGCAAGAACCCAUAAGAGAAUGUUCAGGUCUUUUGCUUGGCCUGGUAUGAAAGGAGAUAUUAAGUCUGUGGUUUCUACUUGUCACAUUUGUCAGCAGAAUCACUAUGAGACAGUCAAUCCUCCAGGGUUGUUGCAACCAAAUGUGAUACCGGACAAAGCUUGGACUCAAAUCUCUAUGGAUUUCAUUGAAGGCCUUCCAAAGUCAGCUGGAAAAACAGUACUCUUGGUGGUGGUUGAUAGAUUGACCAAGUAUGGUCACUUUAUACCAAUGUCACACCCUUAUACAGCUUCUACUGUGGCUCAACACUUUGUGAAGGAAGUUUUUUCGACUACAUGGAAUGCCAGAAUCUAUCAUAUCUGAUAGGGAUCCAAUCUUUCUCAGCAAAUUUUGGGAAGCAUUCUUCACCUUACAGGGAACUACUUUAAACAAAAGCUCCUCUUACCACCCACAAAGUGAUGGCCAAACUGAGAACCUGAAUAGGACAGUGGAGCAGUACCUCAGGUGUGUGGUUGGAGAAAGACCAAGUUCUUGGGUUGAAGCCAUACCAUGGGCUGAGUACUGGUACAACUCAGCUCAUCAUUCAGCCAUUGGCAUGACUCCAUUUAAAGCUCUAUAUGGAUAUGAAGCUCCAGCUGUGAAAGCUUAUGAGGUGGGUGGGACUGCAGUGGCAUCAGUGGAUGCUCAAUUACAAUUAAGAGAUGAGUUAUUGGCUAGUCUGAAGAGAAAUUUGCAAGUGGCUCAAUGCAGAAUGAAAAAUUUCUAUGACAAGCAUCACUCAGAGAGAAGUUUUGAAGUGGGAGAUUGGGUUUAUCUCAAACUACAACCUUAUCGGCAGCAGUCAGUGCAAAAGCGAUCCAGCCACAAACUAGCUCCAAGGUAUUGUGGCCCUUAUCUCAUUAUACAGAAGAUCGGAUAUGUUGCUUAUAAGCUGAAAUUGCCUGAUUCAUCAAAGGUUCAUCCAGUGUUCCAUGUGUCACUGCUAAAGAAGAAAAUGGGAGACUUUGUGGUGGUUGCUACACACUUGCCUCCUGACCUUGAUCCACAUAACCCUAGAUGGUACCCAGCAAAAGUUUUGGAAAGAGGGGUUUUCAGGAAGAACAAUGCACCAGUAACUAAAUGGUUGAUUAAAUGGCUUGGUGCUGCUGAGGAGGAGGCCACGUGGGAGGAAGCAGAUGACAUUCAACGCAGGUUCCCAGAUUUCACUGAUAAGUGAGCUUGAGGACAAGCUGUUUUUUGGGAGGGAUGAAUUGUUAUGAUUGUAGUCUUUCCUUGUCUAGUUUAACUAGGAGAAGUGUAGUUGGUCAGUGGUUGGUCCUCAGGUGCUAUGCACGUGAGACAGUUUAGUGUCUGUUUAGUUUAAUUAAGUCUAAUUAGCCGUUAAGUAUGGAUUAGAGUUGCAUUAGUAAUGGACCAUCAGUUGUGUGACACGUGGGCCUGUUCAUGUGUUGUUUAUCUGGGUAUAAAGACCCCCAACUGUACUCAGUUUGGUAGAGAAUGAAAAUCUGAAGUUUAUUUCCUUUUCUUUUCUUUCAAUUUGUUCUCAGUUUCUUCAGUUAGGGCUAAUACCUUAACAGGACGCCGGAACAACCACAAAAAUCCCAUGCUAGAACGAAUCUGAACCCUUCCCCUACCACCUCAGUUGGAUCUGCAACUUCCAAUCCCACCUCUUCCUUCCUUCCAACUCGCCCACCAACAUAGACAAAAAUAGGAGAAGAAGACGAGCAAAAAUGGCGCGCACUCCAGCUAAACGUUUCCUCUCCCAGGCUAAGACAUUAUGGCGAGGCCGCCUACAAUGUUUAGCUAGGAGAGAGAGGUUUUCUUUCUUAAUAGGGUUUUUUCCUUAGGCGCGUUCUAUUUUCUAAUGCCGCGUGUAUGUCGAUUGUCCUCAUCACUCACACUUGAGUUCACAGUUUCGAUCCCCCUUGUUGUUACAUCUACCAAUACAAGGUUUUAGGGGUCUAAUAUAAUACCUCGGCAGCUCCAGUACUAGUCGGAAUGAUGUUACGGCCAGCAGCUCUACUACCACUCCAGUCUUUCAUUAGUGGACUAUCAACAGUCAUUUGAGUAGCUACAUCACAUAUCAAAAGAACCUUCAACCAAUUAAUGAUUCAUUACAGUCUAGCUUGCUUAGAAUCAAAUGAGCAUACUAUACAUUCUCACCAGUAACUGAAUGGACUGCGGUCAUAAGACCCUCUACGAUACCAAAUUUAUCGUGGAUAACCUAUCAAGACAUGUAUAUUGAUACAGUAAACAUGAGAAAAUUAACCAGUUGAUUGAAGUACUAGCUAGCUGAUAUUGAUUUGAUUAGGACAAUAAUAAGAAAUGAAACCUUUGCCAGUGGAGCAAGACAGUGAGUAGUGCAGCUUGCAUUCGAAUCAAUGUUAAGAUCUGGAGUGUAGUCCUUCUCAUUAACACCCAUAACAGACAUGGGAAACUCGUCACUUGGAGCAGAAAUAAUUACUUUCUUUGCACCAGCCUAUGUAAUGGAACAUUGUACAUAUCAGCAACAAAAUCUUCAUGAACAUGUAUACAAGCAUGUGAAAUUUUUUUACCGUCAGGUGGCGUGAUGCUCUCUCCUGAUCUGAGUUACUCCACUGGACUCGACGACAAAUUCAACACCACCAUCUUCCCAUGGGAUUUCAUUAGGUAAGGUAAACAAACAACUAUAAACAAGCCAAAGUGAAUUUCAUUGUUCUUGUUAACUACCAAGUAAACACAAGAGUGGGAGUGUAAUUAAGAAAAUAUACCUAGAAUCAUAAACCUUAACGGCCUUUUCACCAAAAAGAAGUGUGCUUUCAUCCUUAACCUUAAGCUCGCCAUGCUUCCACUGCCCAUGAACACUGUCGUACUUAAAUAUGUAGCUCUGAGAAGAUGGGAUUAGUUAAUACAUGCAACCCCUUUGUGGAGAAUUAAGUUACCUAAUACACAAUAACACAAAUUCAACUCGAUCCACAAUAGUGGAGAAUUUGGGUGAAGCCCGGCGAAAGGUAAAAUGUUUAAUGAAAUGUCUCAAAAAAGUUAAAGACGGACACUAUAUUCAUGUAGUUAACUGGUUUUACAUAACCACGUGAUCAGCAGUCAAGAAAGGAUCGUUUAUGGCAACGAGUUCAAUGUCGUCUCUCUGCAGAGCAACUCUGGCCACGAUGCGGCCAAUCCUUCCGAAUCCUUCAUUCACAACAUAAUCUCCAUUCAAGACAAAUGAUAUGAUACAAAUACUGAACAAACCAGUGAAGAGAGACACCAAUACCAUUGAUGCCAAUCUUGAUCUUGGCCAUGGGUAACAAUGUUUAUGCUUUGUUAAACCCAAAGAGAGUGAACCAGGGAGGACGGCAUGUGUUUGUGAUGAAGAUGGGGGAUCACUGUUAAAUUUGAGAGAUGAAUUGGUUAAAAGAAGGAUUAAAUUCAGUUUGCCCCUUCGUACUUUAGGUCAAUAAUUAGUUUGGUCUCAUAUCUUUUUUUUUUUUUUAAUAACGUUGGUCCUUGAAGUUCUAUUUCACAUCAGUUUAGUCCAAUUUUUGAAUUGCCCUCCUUACCAUGACGUCAUACUCUGAGUUGUCCGCGACACAAAAGUCCAGUUUCUAACUUAAAAGGGUAAAAUAGUCAUUUUAUGAUAUACUAAAAUGAAAAUAACAACAUACAGUUCAUCAUCAAUCCUUCAACUCCCUCCGUUUCUGGAAUUUAAGCAAUAACUUAACUCUGUUCCAAUGCUACUGCCAAGCUCAACCAAACCCAGAAAAUCCUAACUCCUCCAUUCUUAAUUAAACCACCCUGCGCAAUAAUUGAACACUACCAAUAUCCCAAAACUCCAACUUCUUCAAUCUCAUCCCAAAAUCAAAACUGAUUAUCUCAUACAAAUUCAGUAUACUAACAAAGCCGGAAACCAAUUCCUUCAACCCCCACCGCCGCCGUGAACAACGUCACUCACGGCGGUCCUCCUCUACCUAAAACCUAAAUUCUCCCAAACAUCACCAAACUCAAUUCCAAUUAUAUACAGAGGUAGAGCUCGAAGAGAAGAUCAAGGUUCAUACCUCAAUUGCCUUCGACAGUGGCCGAAAAACACAUAAACUUGCCGGAAAACUGCUUGAGCUUCAAUUAAUCGAUUCUCAGUCAUGAAGGCUCCUCUGAAGAAAUCGAGACCACAUACAGAACGGGGAUGGCGAGACUAAGCUAUCCACACCAGUCACGCUCACCGCCGUGACCGGAAUCGGAAACCCGAUCGGAGAGGCAGUCACCUUCUCUCCUCUGAUUCUCUUUCAGUAGCGCUCCUCCAUGAAAUUUGACACAACAGAGACGUCAGGAAUGGCGAGAAGAAGCCCUGGCCAUCGAUAGCACGCUGAGAGACGGCCGGACGACGGAAGGGAGCGCUAAGCUCCGUCGCAACUCAAGACGGGGUUUGGGACUCCGACCUCGAUAUACUCCAAUCCAACGGAGAGUGGAGAGUUCGUUAUAUUGAUGAGGGCAAUAUAUGAUAAAAUGACUAUUUUACCCUUUUAAGUCAGAAACUGAGCCCUUAUGUCACAGAUAACUGAGCACAUGACGUCAUGGUAACUAGGACAAUUCAAAAAUUAGACUAAAUUGAUGUGAAGUAGAACUUCAAGGACCAACGUUAUUAAAAAAAAAUAUUUGAGACCAAACUGAUUAUUGACCUAAAAUACGAGAAAACAAACUGAAUUUAAUCUUAAAAGAAAAUGCACGAGAAGUAAAAAAACCUUGAAAGAUGGGGCUUGAAAUGUACGUUUGUUUUUCAAUUAAAAAAAAAAAGUACAUUUGUUUAUACAAUGUUAACUCAGAUGACUACAACAUAAAUCAACAAUCUUCUUACAUGUGGUUUAGGAUUAGUAGUAAACCAAGAAAAGGAGGAAGAAACAACAACUGUCUGAGUUAUAUCAUAGUAUCAUUGCGUCUGUAGCCACCUAAUUCUCUAGUCUUAGCUUCCGCGUUGUUCAAUUCAAUAGUUCCCAAUUUCUGUUUUCCCCAAAUCUCAAAACCCUAGCCUAUCGAUUGAAGCUGUGCCGUCCUCAAUUGAAGCAAGUGCGACUUCAUCUGCAGUCGGGCUCUGAUCGCCAACCUCGCCUUCUUUUCUAGUUUUGAGUUCUCUGCUCGCACAUCUCACUGGCGCCAUCUUCACGCUUCUGAUCCUCGUUGCCCUCUCAGCCCCGAUUUGCAGUCUUUGGUCACCGAUUCGGUACUAGUCUCUCUCUCUCUCUCCUCAACUGUGUUUAUUGCUUUCAUCUGGUUGGAUGUAGAAGUAGGGGAGAUGAUUUGACAGUGCUAGAUGGAUAUUAUAUGUGAAUACUCUGGGCUUCUAAAUCUGAUUGUACUUUGAGAUGGUGAUUUGAGGAUAUAUAUAUAUAUAUAUAUAUAUGGGUGCUAUUAUUGUGAUGGUGAUUUUCUAUCCAUGCUUUGGCUCCAAUUAUAGAGGAUUUGAUAAUUUCUUUGUUGAUUCGGUCACCUCUCUCACUUGAAUUAUGAAAUUUCUCUAUGGUCUGGGUUGUUGUGCUCCAAUUCGCCAGUUUUCCAGUUUUUCUUUUCAUAUCAAGGUUUGUUUGCCGUCAACCAAAAGAAAAAGGUGAUGAUGCAGUUUAUAUUUUCUUUUUGUGUGUGGACCGGUGAAUGUGGCUUGAUAAUUUGGAUUAUGGAUUGGUUCUCUAGCUCUACUGUGAAGUACAUGUCUGAAUUUGGUGAAGUAGUUUCUGAUUACUCUGAUAUUUGGACGUUGCUGCAUUCAAUUGAAAUUUGCCUCAGACAUUCUGCAAUAUUCUAUUCUAGUAAUAUGUGCUUCAUCUGUCAAUGGUUGCUUUAGUAUCACUCACUGAUAUCUAGAUUGAGCAUCAACAGCUUCCGACUUGUGCUUUGGCUUAUCAAUUUCUCAUGCACCCACCUCAGUGAGCAUUAGAUUCUUCAGCAGAAUUGGUAAUAUCCUCCCAAUUUUUCCACCCUAUCAUUGGAUUUGUGGAAUUGAUUUCUGGUUUAAUUUGCUAUGUCAUCAUCAGUUUGUCAUUUUCCUUUUAUAUCAAAGUUUGUGUCUGCCAUCAACCAAAGAAAAGGUGAUGAAGCAGUUUUAUAUUUUCAUUUUGGUCUGGUGAAUUGGCUUGGCAAGUUGGAGUACAAAUUGGUUGUAUGGCUCUAUGUGCUGGAUGUGUUGAGUUUGGAGGAGGUUUCCAUAUUUGAUGAGGAAUUUGAAAUUUGCUAUGGAAUUUGUUGUGCCUACUGUUUCUAGUGUGGUUACAUUGCUGCUGAUAUGGUGUUUGGAUGAAUCCCCUAGUAGAGAUGAGGUAGAGAUGAGUUGCUGGUUAUAUAUGAGUGCAUAUGGAGUUGAUAAUUAAGGCAGAAUUCUUCUAAUGUUUGUGCAAGAAGCUUUAUAUGGUUACUGGUAGAGUGCAAGUGUUUCAGAUAUGAAAGUUAAACAAGAUUCAAGUUCUUAUGGCAACAUAUGCAGCUUUUCAGUUUUUCAGUUUGUCAGAUUACAAUUGAAGAAAAAUAAUAAAAUAUAUGCAGUUUUCAGAUUUGGAUUUUUUAUUUUUCAGUUUUACAUAGUUUGCUGCUAUGCUACUGGGUUUAUUCUUCAUCAUGUUGCACUACUACCGGUGAGAUUCUUCCAGCAAGCUCUUUCUCCUCUUUUAUAUACCUGCUGCAAAUCAAGAUGGAAGCUAGUCUUAUCAUAUCAUGAUGGGUUUUUGAAUUGGAUGUUAUCUUGUAAUUGGCUAUAGCUGUGUAUUUUUCCAACCAGUAUGCUUGUUACCAAGCAU
rnacentral:lncRNA from 1 species